GAGGAGCUUGCUCUUCAGAUCGAGUGGCGAACGGGUGAGUAACGCGUGAGGAACCUGCCUCAAAGAGGGGGACAACAGUUGGAAACGACUGCUAAUACCGCAUAAGCCCACGGCUCGGCAUCGAGCAGAGGGAAAAGGAGUGAUCCGCUUUGAGAUGGCCUCGCGUCCGAUUAGCUGGUUGGUGAGGUAACGGCCCACCAAGGCGACGAUCGGUAGCCGGACUGAGAGGUUGAACGGCCACAUUGGGACUGAGACACGGCCCAGACUCCUACGGGAGGCAGCAGUGGGGAAUAUUGCACAAUGGGGGAAACCCUGAUGCAGCGACGCCGCGUGGAGGAAGAAGGUCUUCGGAUUGUAAACUCCUGUUGUUGAGGAAGAUAAUGACGGUACUCAACAAGGAAGUGACGGCUAACUACGUGCCAGCAGCCGCGGUAAAACGUAGGUCACAAGCGUUGUCCGGAAUUACUGGGUGUAAAGGGAGCGCAGGCGGGAGAACAAGUUGGAAGUGAAAUCCAUGGGCUCAACCCAUGAACUGCUUUCAAAACUGUUUUUCUUGAGUAGUGCAGAGGUAGGCGGAAUUCUCGGUGUAGCGGUGGAAUGCGUAGAUAUC
rnacentral:rRNA from 1 species